rnacentral:rRNA from 1 species
UACGGGGGGGGCAAGCGUUGUUCGGAAUUACUGGGCGUAAAGGGCGCGUAGGCGGCCUUCUAAGUCAGACGUGAAAUCCCUCGGCUCAACCGAGGAACUGCGUCUGAUACUGGAAGGCUUGAAUCCGGGAGAGGGAUGUGGAAUUCCAGGUGUAGCGGUGAAAUGCGCAGAUAUCAGGAGGAACACCAAUGGCGAAGGCAGCUCGCUGGGACGUGACUGACGCUGAGACGCGAAAGCGUGGGGAGCAAACAGG